CACCACAGAUCCCUUCUCCGCCUCCGGCCGGCAGCCUUUAUAAGCGCAAGCGCGGCUCCGCCAUUUUGGUUCUACUCCGUGCGGUGCGGUGCGGUGCGGUGCGCUUUGCUGGUGUGUCCUCGACUCCUCGUGCAGCCUCGCUCGCUGGCUGAUCCCAAUUCCCACAGGGGGCCGGGGACUGGCGGCGGUUGACGGCUGAUAGAGUUGGCGCGGAGUGUGGGUGAUGGCGUCGGAGCCGGUGGCGCGGGCGGUGGCGGAGGAGGUGGGGCGAUGGGGGAGCAUGAAGCAGACGGGGGUGACCCUGAGGUACAUGAUGGAGUUCGGCUCCCGCCCCACCCCGCGCAACCUGCUGCUCUCCGCGCAGUUCCUGCACAAGGAGCUCCCCAUCCGCUUCGCGCGCCGCGCGCUCGAGCUCGAGUCGCUGCCCUUCGGCCUCUCCAACAAGCCCGCCAUCCUCAAGGUGCGGGAUUGGUACUUGGACUCAUUCCGCGACAUCAGAUACUUCCCUGAAGUGAGGAGCCGGAACGACGAGCUCGCUUUCACACAGAUGAUCAAUAUGGUCAAAAUGCGGCACAAUAAUGUGGUUCCAACAAUGGCUUUGGGAGUGCAGCAGCUGAAGAAGGAACUGGGCCACGCAAGGAAGGUUCCCUUUGAAUUCGAUGAUCAGAUCCACGAGUUCCUUGAUCGUUUCUACAUGUCAAGGAUUGGCAUCCGCAUGCUGAUAGGGCAGCAUGUGGCUUUGCAUGAUCCUCAACCCUCUGGUGUCAUAGGCCUCAUUAAUACAAGAUUAUCCCCAAUACAGGUGGCUCAAGCUGCUUGUGAAGAUGCCCGUGCUAUUUGCUUAAGGGAAUAUGGAUCAGCUCCUGAUAUUAACAUUUAUGGUGAUCCAAAUUUUACAUUUCCAUAUGUCACACAUCACCUACAUCUGAUGUUAUUUGAAUUGGUCAAGAACUCUCUCCGUGCGGUGCAAGAACGGUAUAUGAAUUCUGAUGAAGAUGUUCCUCCAGUUAGAAUUAUAGUUGCUGAUGGAGAAGAAGAUGUUACUAUCAAGGUUAGUGAUGAAGGUGGCGGGAUACCAAGAAGUGGCCUCCCAAGAAUUUUCACGUAUCUGUAUAGCACUGCAAAGAAUCCUCCUGAGCUAGAUAGACCUAAUGUAGGAGUAACUAUGGCCGGAUAUGGUUUCGGGCUCCCAAUCAGCCGGCUUUACGCUCGGUAUUUUGGGGGCGACUUGCAAAUCAUCUCAAUGGAAGGAUACGGUACCGAUGCUUACCUCCACUUGUCACGGCUGGGAGAUUCAGAGGAGCCCUUGCCUUGACGACAUAUUUCUGUGGCCCCCAAUACCACUCUUUCUCCUGUAAUUAUGCUGCUCUUCUUCUUGUAAUCCAGUGCUGGUCUGCGAAUAUUGUUGUAAUAGGCCAGCCACCUAUAGCUAUAGUUGGUCUCGAUCUUAUAGUCCGGCCCCUCAGCUCUGCAGCAUUGGGGAACACAGCACUGCUACGUCCUGCUUGCUUCUGCCAUGUAGUAUGAUCUCUCUGCCGGGUUUCAGGGGGAGAAAAAUAGAGAAUAGUAUGAUCCCUCCGUCGGGUAUCAGAAAACAGUAUGAUGAUCCCUCUGCCUCCCAGAAACCAGCGUUGCAAAUGGGGAGAAGCACCCGGACCUAUGCCGAUGAGCACAAAUUUGAGAUUAUUCUCAGCAGCUGCUAAUUUCAUAGCUGCAUCUCUUGUUGUACAGUAUAUAAUCUGGAUUUGGGCUUUGCUACGCUACUCCGUAGCGACGGUGGACUCUCGAUCUUUAUGGCAAUUAUCACGUAUUACCUUCUAGGAGGUUCAUCACACAAGCAACCAAGACAGACAGUACAAGCUGGGGCACCAUUGGCUUCAGCAACAGAUUAAGCUCUGCCCCACUUGCUGCUGCACUGUGUUGUCAGGCUUGAGUCUUAACAGUGUUUACAUUGUACCGGAGCCCAACACAGAAUCAGAAGAUCCCGUGAUGGAGAAGCGCUGGAGACAGACAGGGAUGUCUCAACCAACUUCAGUGCCAUUCUCUUGAUCACUUCCACAGAUUGAGCUCCCAUGGUCAUUGAUAAGCUCCGGUUUGUCAGCAGAGAGCCAAGCAAGUACGUUUUGGUAGCCAAAAUGCAGUGUCACCAGCAGGUAAGGCAGCAGCACGUUUUGGUUGGUGACAAGAUCUGAACUCAGACAUUGCCUGUUAUGCUGUUAAGAGUUCUGUCAGUCACUGGGCUGUGGACCCUCCCACGUGCUGGGACUGGAUAGAGCAGAACCUUCUAUUCUCCUCCAUGUGAGAUUUUCAUGGCACGCCUGCAUCUGCAGAGCAGAGCAGAACAGAACAUGGCGGACAGUUGCAACUUGCAAUUAGGAGGCAUGGCUGAGCUGCUGGGCUGCCGCAGAGGAUCACACAAGCUGCCGUGGAAAGCGGAGGAGCCCCGGCGGGCGGCGGCAGACCCACGAGCGAGAGCGAGAGCGAAGCAAACCAGCGAGCGGCUUUCCGCUCUCCCUCACCCGGUUUAUAGAAAGUUUAACCCUCGCAGCUUGGAUUAUUAGCUUUCCGGAUUCUGACUUUUGACGCGGCAGCUCCGGCUUUUGUUUCGCUUUGCCUGUCCUCCCGCGACGCAAAUUGUUCUUCUGCUGCUGCUGCCGCCAUCACGUGGUUGUGUUAUGUUUAUUGUUGCGUUGCUUUAGGUGCUCGGGUUAUGUACCUGUCGGUUGUCGUCUACUAAAUGGAAAGCCAUCUAUUCUGCGUGUGUGCGUGUACAGAACACAUGAUAACAGGCUCAAAAAAAAAA